rnacentral:lncRNA from 1 species
CCACAGUUUCACUGCUUUAUCUUACUCUGUCAACUUGGGGGCUGAAUUAUGGUUUUAAUAUCUUGGUCUCUGCUCUGACUAUGAUUUGUUCUUUGUUGUUUUUCUGAUCUGCACUUUGGAGUAACACAUUUGUUAGAGACACUUGGGCUGGUCAGAGCAGAGAGAGAAAAUUUCCCUCUUACAAAUUAUGUGUAUCUGUGAUCUAAACAUGUUCAGAAUUUGUGAAUCUUUCACAACAUUUAAGCACAAAUUCCUCAUAGAAUAGAAAUACAUCUUUACACUUCAUUUUUUAAUUAAAACCAUCAGCACAUUCCAGCGUGUGUUUUCCCCACUUACAUAUUUUCAUUGCAACCUUCAAUCAAAAUGCAUCUUCCAUCUAUUUUUACAACUAUUUUGCUUUAAAUAUUUAACGACAAACACACAAAAUGCAACGUUGGCUCAAUUUGGCCCUUAUUUCAUAAACUAGGCCCAAAGGACUACACACAUGGAUACAGUUUCACACAUAAAUAAGAAUGCAGUGGAUCAGAGUCUAUAUUAUUACUAUUAUUAUUCAUAACAGAGAGGACUAUAAAUGUACUUUGCUUUUCAAAAUUCAGGAACAAUGGAGCAGAGUCUUCUGAGUUAUCACAGGAGUCAGCAGGUGUUCUGUGAAUGGAGAAUUUGAAAGCUCAAGGCCUCAGAGCUCAAACCAGAAGAAAAGCACCAGCCUCAAGCAGCCCACCCUGCAGAAAGCAGCCAACGACUGGAUCUUAAAACAACUGUGUAGGCAGAGCUGUUUAUUCCACUUUGCUUUCCACUCCAUUGUAUCAAUGCAUUUAUUUACUCUCUUGCAGCACUGUGGAUCUAUUUCAUUAUGUUGGCCAAUCUUUCUUUAUAUUAUAUUGUGGUAGUUUGGUCUAGGCCUUCCUUGGUGACC